rnacentral:rRNA from 1 species
CUAGCAUAUCAAUAAGCGGAGGAAAAGAAACUAACAAGGAUUCCCCUAGUAACUGCGAGUGAAGCGGGAAAAGCUCAAAUUUAAAAUCUGGCGGUCUUCGGCCGUCCGAGUUGUAAUCUGGAGAAGCGUUUUCCGCGCCGGACCGUGUACAAGUCUCUUGGAACAGAGCGUCAUAGAGGGUGAGAAUCCCGUCUUUGACACGGACUACCGGUGCUAUGUGAUGCGCUCUCGAUGAGUCGAGUUGUUUGGGAAUGCAGCUCAAAAUGGGUGGUAAAUUCCAUCUAAAGCUAAAUAUUGGCGAGAGACCGAUAGCGAACAAGUACCGUGAGGGAAAGAUGAAAAGCACUUUGGAAAGAGAGUUAAACAGUACGUGAAAUUGCUGAAAGGGAAACGAUUGAAGUCAGUCGCGUGUGCUAGAACUCAGCCUUGCUUUUGCUUGGUGCAUUUUCUAGUGUACGGGCCAGCAUCAGUUUUGGCCGCCGGAAAAAGGCCUUGGGAAUGUGGCACCUUCGGGUGUGUUAUAGCCCUUGGUUGUAUACGGUGGCUGGGACUGAGGAACAUAGCAUGCCUUUACGGCGGGGCUUCGGCCACCUUCAUGCUUUGGAUGCUGGCGUAAUGGCUUUAAACGACCCGUCUUGAAACACGGACCAAGGAGUCUAACAUGCCUGCGAGUGUUUGGGUGGAAAACCCGAGCGCGUAAUGAAAGUGAAAGUUGGGACUUCUGUCGUGGAAGGCACCGACGCCCGGACCAGACCUUCUGUGACGGAUCCGCGGUAGAGCAUGUAUGUUGGGACCCGAAAGAUGGUGAACUAUGCCUGAAUAGGGUGAAGCCAGAGGAAAAUUCUGGUGGAGGCUCGUAGCGAUUUCUGACGUGCAAAUCGAUCGUCAAAUUUGGGUAUAGGGGCGAAAGACUAAUCGA